GACGAACGCUGGCGGCGUGCCUAAUACAUGCGAGUCGAACGCUUCUUUCCUCCCGAGUGCUUGCACUCAAUUGGAAAGAGGAGUGGCGGACGGGUGAGUAACACGUGGGUAACCUACCCAUCAGAGGGGGAUAACACUUGGAAACAGGUGCUAAUACCGCAUAACAGUUUAUGCCGCAUGGCAUAAGAGUGAAAGGCGCUUUCGGGUGUCGCUGAUGGAUGGACCCGCGGUGCAUUAGCUAGUUGGUGAGGUAACGGCUCACCAAGGCCACGAUGCAUAGCCGACCUGAGAGGGUGAUCGCCCACACUGGGACUGAGACACGGCCCAGACUCCUACGGGAGGCAGCAGUAGGGAAUCUUCGGCAAUGGACGAAAGUCUGACCGAGCAACGCCGCGUGAGUGAAGAAGGUUUUCGGAUCGUAAAACUCUGUUGUUAGAGAAGAACAAGGACGUUAGUAACUGAACGUCCCCUGACGGUAUCUAACCAGAAAGCCACGGCUAACUACGUG
rnacentral:rRNA from 1 species